rnacentral:lncRNA from 10 species
GACAAGAGGAUGGGACUGCAGUUGUGGCUGCCAGGGCCCCGGCCAGGGUGAAAACAAGGAACAUUCCAGAGAAGAUCACAAGGAUGCGAAUAAAAUCGGAGCUGCACAGGGAUCUUUGGGCUGUAAUAGGAGGGGACACACAGGGGUUGGAGUGCAGUGGCACGAUCUCGGCUCAGUGCAACCUCCGCCUCCUGAGUUCAAGUGAUUCUCCUGCCUCAGCCUCCCUAGUAGCUGGGAUUACAGGACAAGGAGAGGGACAAAUUCCUUCUUGGCAUCCUUAUGGCCCUGUGACCUGCUAAUGAAUGCUGACUCUGAGUUGCUACUAGAAUUUGGUUUCCUUGUGGCUUCCCAGGAAUUGGUCUCACUCUGCUCACUCUGUCUCCCAAGCUGGAGUGCAGUGGUACAGUCACGGCUCACUGCAGCCUCCACUUCCUGGACUCAAGUGAUCUUCUCACUUCAGCCUUCUGAGUAGCUGGGACUACAGCCCCCUCUGCAGCUCUUCAUGGGGGUCCACUCAAGUCAGAAGCCACAUUUGGGUGUGAUUCAGAGAGCUGUUUAUGCAAAACCAGCUUUGUCACCAUCAGGCAAGGCACCUGAAUUCCCACCGCAGAGAGUGUUGUGGCCGUGAGGACUUUUCUGUCACCAGCCAUUUCCAGGUAGACCCAGUGUAAUCACAAGCAUCCUUGUAAGUGGCAAAGAGGCAGAGGAGACAGCGCCAGAGAGGCAGCUGCAUGAGAAGGAUCAAGAUGUUGCUGACUUUGAAGUUGGAAGAAGAAGGCCAUGAGCCUCAGUAUGUGGGCGGCUUCUAGAAGCUGGAAGGGGCAAGGAGAUGGAUUUGACCCUUCAGCCUCCAGGGGCAGCUGUACCUGCCAUCACUGAUUGUAGCCUGGUGAGGCCUGUUUUAGACUUCUGACCUGUAGAGCUGUAACAUAAUACAUUUGGGUUGUUUUCAACCACUAAGUUUGUGGUAAUUUGUUGUAGCAGCUGUAGAAAAUGAAUACAUAUGAAUCCUCUGGCAUUUGUUUGAGAUUUGCUCUAUGGCCUAGUAUGUGGUUGUAAAUGUUCCAUCUGUGCCUGAAAAAAUGUAUAUUUCU